rnacentral:misc_RNA from 1 species
UCGCACUCACCCAUACACGCGCACGCGGCCUACGGAAGCGAAAUCGAAUAAAUACGCUGACACAAACGCGGCGGAACCAGGGAGCUUGUUAUAAUAUAUAUGUUUGAUUGCUUCGCUGCAGCCUCGAUUUGCAUAGCCCCCUCCCAUACCCCGGGAGUGGUGCCCCUCCAUUUUCUUAUGUGUUUUUUUUUUCAUAACUUGAUUUUAAGUUGUCAGCGUUGCCUCGCGCUGUCGUACUUCUUUUGAGCUGAAUUAGGGAUACCCACACGCACAAACUUCUAUUUUUUCAUACAUACGCUCUUACCCCUCCCCCCGCGUACCCCGCACACCCCCUCGCGCCACACAAGCCAACGGACAAAACGCCGCUUGACUCGUUGCACCCCACUUCCCCAUCGGCCCUCUCCCUUCUAUUCCUUUAUCGCUUAUCCUCUCUUUUUUUUCUGCUGAGGGUAUCUCUUGCCUGUCUUUGUGAACGGUGAGCUUGAGCGAGAAGGAUGGCGGCCUGUGCCGGAUUGCGACUCGGUGUGGUGCGUGUGCUCUUGGUUGUGGCGAUUGUGUGCGGCCUACGUGCCGCUGUCGUCACGGCUGAGGAGUCUUCGCUGUCGAGCCCUAUUGUGUGCACGUGUCGCUGCUGCUACCAGGGUGGGUGCAGCCCGCUCACGAAUGUGUCGUGGACCGUCAGCUCCUGCAACGAGUGCUCCACCAAGAUGUGCAAUGACUACAUCUCUAGCCAGCAGGUGCGCGCAGAUACGGCGCGCCUCUUCGAGGGAAUUCAGGGUGAAAAGCCCUUGAACGACACCGUUGUGGUGCAGGAGUGCGAGGUGAUUGCCGUGCUGGAGGCGGCCACGUGCACGACGAAGAGCUGCAAACGAACGUCAACCAUCAAGGCGGAGUGCUACGAUCGCAACGCACCUCUCAUCAAGUACUCCAUCAUUUCGUUUGUGCUGCUCACCAUUUUCGCUGUCAUCUUAGGUAUCAUCAAGAACUACAUCCCCGCCUUCCAGUCCCUGAAUGAGAAGUACUUCAACUACUGACAAGCAAUGAUGGGGUAAUCGUGGGGGUGUGCCCCUUGUGUGCGCGUGCGCUCGCCUGAGCACGUGCACUCGUGACACAGUCGCUAGCUUCUACGCUGAGUCAUCAUCUCCUUCGCCCGUGUCGGUGUCUGCGCGAUGGACUUUGCUGCAAUCGUGCACUCACGCACGCAUGGACGCAGUUGACGCGGACAUCUGCGCCCAUUCUGCGAUGCUGUCCUCCUCCCCCCGCUUCGCGCGUUACCGUCUUGUUGCCCACGGUUGCGUGGAUCCCGUUUGCUCGUUGAUCUUCCUUCCCUUCAGUGUGGCUAUACAGCUCGUCGCGACGCUCGAUGCUGUUUCUCCAUUCACCGCAGCUCUUCUUCACGCGGAUAGCCGCCAUAAAGAGUGAGGGUGUGCGUCGCCGUCCACCAGAGGCGGCAGAAGUACCCGAACGAGACUAG